GUGCUUGCUUCGGCAGCACAUGUACUAACAUUGGAAUGAUACAGAGAUUAGCAUGGUCCCUGCACAAGGAUGACACGCAAAUUCAUGAAGCCUUCCGUAUUGAA
ensembl:snRNA U6 U6 spliceosomal RNA